rnacentral:lncRNA from 1 species
GUGUCCUACUAUUGUCCUUGUUAUUGGGUCUGUCAUCAACGUUUAAAUGGAGAUCAUGGUGCAGUGGUCAGCAUGAUUACACAUCGUCAGUGUCCUUAUAUACUUCUUGUCUCCUGUAUGAUUACACAUCGUGAGGCAUUGUCGGACACAGCCUGCCGUGCGUCUACUGGCCACCUGAUUUGACGUUCAUACCAAUUGUACUACUUGAGUUGUCUCUUUGCUGGCAACUUGAUGCUUGCGCUUGCUUAAGCUUGCGCCAUGUAACUGAGAAUGGGUUAAGCUUAAAAUACACCUGAUUUAGAUAUGGUUCAUUGCGUACGACCUGAAUUUGCAUCAUGUAGCCAGCACAUGAUUUGAGACCAUACUCCUUAAGGCACCUUGCACCAUUUACUAACAUACAGUCAAACUGCCGAAACAACCAAGCAAGCUGAGAAAACAUGAUUUGCCGAUUCCAAACCCGGGCCACACACAGAAACACAAUUGGGAAUCAACUUGGAUAUUUCUCUGGGCCAAAACUUCCUAUGUAAGUAACCUGUUUAAUUCCACUCUCCACAUAAAUAUGUUGCAUUUUAUUGAACCCCAUUACACUGAUAUUCAUAACAUACAACCCACUAACAUCCCUACUCAAAUUCAGCAUGCAUUUCACUGAUCUAACCUACAAUACACCUGUAAUCCCCCCUCCACGACACGACCAAAUAUCUCAACUCAACUGUAGAUUCUGGAUGUUGGGCCUUCAAGUGGGUUAAUUGGUUGGGUGAUUGUGGUAUUAAAAAUGAUAAUUGGGCUUGGACCCAUAAUGAUCAUAACACUGUUCAUGUCAGAUUAUAUCUUAAAAAAGUAUUUGUGUAAUUAGAAUGUGAAACUCUCAUAAAUAUCCUAAAGCUCGAUGUAUCAUAUGUAUAUAUUUUUCAUUUCUCUUACUUCGAACCAUCCAUUGGUGAAUCCGAAUGCCAAUAACCAAUGGAACUAUUCGUUGGUGAUGUUUUCGUACUGA